rnacentral:lncRNA from 1 species
CAGCAAGUUCAGAGGAAGGUAGUCUUUUUACAGUGACAGAUUUUGCUACUUGGGGGCCAGCAUGGAGCUCAUCUUUGCAGAUCAGUUUUUUUCCAAAAAUCCAUGAACUUCUAAGUCACAUUUCAAAGGCGAGAUAAGAACCA